AUAAAGAUUUUUGAUUGCCUCUGAAAAGAUACCACUUAACACGAGCACAUGCAAACAUGAUGGUGUCAGUUUAACUGUCUGCAGGCAGAAGAUAGAAUGCUGGGAGCCUUACACGUCAUCAGUCUGGAUUCAGCCAUCUGUACCAGCUCCAAGCAGCAGAAGAAAGGCCAAGAAAAUCAGGACUGGUGGCAUUCUCCCAGGAAGGCUGCUCAGGUUGGAGAAGGCAGAGGAGACACAGCCCUUGGAAGAGCAUGAAGGAGUAAAGGAGGACAACAUGAGUCUGGGAGAAUAUGCAACAUGGCCUUUCAGAAAUGGAAGUUUCACUCCCUGGCUUCAUGGACACAGCUCUGACC